rnacentral:rRNA from 1 species
AACGCGAAGAACCUUACCCAGACUUGACAUCCUUGGAAUUACUGUGAAAACAGUGAGUGCCUUCGGGAGCCAAGUGACAGGUGAUGCAUGGCCGUCUUCAGCUCGUGUCGUGAGAUGUUUGGUUAAGUCCAUUAACGAGCGCAACCCUUAGUGUUAGUUGAAUUUUUCUAACACGACUGCCUCGGUAACGGGGAGGAAGGUGGGGAUGAUGAUAGGUCCGUAUUUCCCUUACGUCUGGGGCUAGAAACGUGAUACAAUGGCCGGUACAAAGCGCAGCGAAGUCGCGAGAUGGAGCAAAUCGCAUCAAAGCCGGUCCCAGUUCGGAUUGUAGGCUGAAACUCGCCUACAUGAAGUCGGAAUCGCUAGUAAUCGCAGGUCAGCACACUGUGGUGAAUACGUUCCCGGGCCUUGUACACACCGGAGUGC